UUCAUGGAGAGUUUGAUCCUGGCUCAGGACGAACGCUGGCGGCGUGCCUAAUACAUGCAAGUCGAGCGAACCGGCGGGAGCUUGCUCCCUUAGGUUAGCGGCGGACGGGUGAGUAACACGUGGGUAACCUGCCUGUAAGACUGGGAUAACUCCGGGAAACCGGGGCUAAUACCGGAUGCUUGAUUGAACCGCAUGGUUCAAUUAUAAAAGGUGGCUUUUAGCUACCACUUACAGAUGGACCCGCGGCGCAUU
rnacentral:rRNA from 1 species